AAACUAAGGACUGCCAAGGCCAUUUUAAACAUGCUUAGAAGAAACAGGUUAGGCAUUGGGAAAAUGUGAACUUGAACAUAAUUCUGAGUGGCCACAGUCAACAAUGGCCUUGGAGAAUGCAGUGUCUAGAAGGAAACAGAGGCUCCUUCUUGGAGCUUGGAAGAAGAGCCCUUUCACAUGAAAAGAACGUGAACGGUUCAUGGGUGUGAGGAACCACAGAAGAAUGCAAGAACAGCCACACGAUCUUUCUGCCUUGCCUCCACUCUCCUGCAGCGUUGACUCUGAGGCUCUUUCAUCAGAGGAGAAACCAGUUACUACAAGGAUGCCCACCUCUGACGUAUAUGAACUUCCAUCUGUCAAUCAAACUCCAAGGAGAGAUGAAGUCAACAUUACAUCCCACACAAGCCUGCUUUCAAUGGAAAUUUCGACCUUCUUUCUUCAAACAUGGAUUGAUGCUUUCUUCUCCCUUAGAACUGCUGCCCUUUGAAAAGGCGAGGAACCAGCCUGUGAGAUUGAGAUGCCAUGGCUAGAUGACCACAGUUCCCGAGGUCUUAGCUGGCAGCCAGCUGUGAGUGACAAAUCCUCUGAUGAUGGCUAUCCCCAGCUUUCUUUUUCUUUUUUUUUUUUGGUUUUUCGAGACAGGGUUUCUCUAUAGCCCUGGCUGUCCUGGAACUCACUUUGUAGACCAGGCUGGCCUCGAACUCAGAAAUCCACCUGCCUCUGCCUCCCGAGUGCUGGGAUUAAAGGCAUGUGCCACCACGCCCGGCUUCUAUCCCCAGCUUUCCACCUGCAUCAGCUAUCUUGCUAAGACCCACCCAUGUGGAAGAAGUCCAAGCAAAAGAAAUGCUUUCACUAUUUUAAUUAUGUUAUUUGUUACUGAUUCGUGGGAACUGGAGAACAGCAUGGAUCCAUUGUUGAUAAAGAAACGCCAUGGACGGUUGAACAGUGUUCAUGUCAUAUCAUUGUCUCAGGACACUUGAGGUAGAAAUAAGAGCAGUCUAUGUAGGUGACUUUUGGACCUAAGCUUUGACUGGCCUGUAAGUGCAACAGUCUGUUAAAGUAUCAGCACCUGCAUUUCUAACCAUGUAGAUCAUUACAACAGCUAUGUUCCAUGUACUGUGUGGAAAAAUGUAUGCAUAAUAAUUCCAGGCAGCACAUUAACCUUAUAACAGUGGAGCCUUUAGCCCUAUUGAAGCAAUGGGAAAUAAGGCUCAGAGAAGGUGGUAUGUCACUCAAGGUUACACAAGCAGGAGUGAGCUGUGCUCCUAGAGCCACACUGAGUCUUUCUUUGAUUCCAUUCACCUGAAUGGUAUCGUGACCUUCUUCACAGACACCCUUGAUGGCAUAUCUUCCUCUCUGUUGACUGCUUUACCCGUCACUCACCCUAUCAUGCUUGCUAGACCUUCCUCUGGGUCUCUCCUUGUCCAGGUGCUGCCGGUUUCCAGUGCACCGGCUCUGAUUUAUCUUUGUCUUCAGUUAAUCGGGACUUGACACAAAGUCGUAUCUUUGUAGGAGAAUGAGCCUGGGCUCAGUCACCC